UACGAAGGGGGCUAGCGUUGCUCGGAAUUACUGGGCGUAAAGCGUGCGCAGGCGGUUCGUUGUGUCCGGCGUGAAAGCCCCGGGCUUAACCUGGGAACUGCGUCCGAUACUGGUUGGCUUGAAUCCGGGAGAGGGAUGUGGAAUUCCAGGUGUAGCGGUGAAAUGCGUAGAUAUCUGGAGGAACACCGGUGGCGAAGGCGGCAUCCUGGACCGGCAUUGACGCUGAGGCGCGAAAGCCAGGGGAGCAAACGGG
rnacentral:rRNA from 1 species